CGCAAUUGUGGAACGCCCUCCCGCACAAUUUAAAAUCUUCCCUAAGCCUAAAGUCAUUUAAGAGAUCCCUCUCUACAUCCCUCAAAACAGAAUGCACGUGUCAUGGUUGAUUAUAUAUUUCCUGCCUGUUCUAUGUUAAAUUUUGUAUAUAUUGUGUAUUAAUAUUGUUUUUGUAUUUUGUUGUACCUAAUGUAACAAUGCAGUGAUUUGUGGACCCAGGACAUACUUGAAAACAAGAGAAAUCUCAAUGUAUCUUUCCUGGUAAAAUAUGUUAUAAAUAAAAUAAA